UUCCUUUUCUUUCCCCAUCUCUCUCUUAAGACAAAACAGAUGGCUGUGGAGAGAAAUCAAUUUCGAGAUCGAUUGAGGAUCGAAUGAGAGUCUUCGAUCAAGAAAUCUUGUAAUUGGUAAGAAUCUACUACUUUUCUGCAGAUUAUCAUGAUUUAAUUUUGGGAAUUUGUUGUUGGUCGAUUAGGGAUUUUGAAUUUUAGAUUUUAGAGUAAAGAUGAAGGUAGAAGUGCAUGUAUCAGUAGCUUAUGGACUCUACUCGGAACGAAAAUCAAUUCCUAAAUGGAUGACAUUCAUUUCAUCCGUUAAGCGUGUGAAGAAAAACAGAACCGAGAUGGGAUGAAGAUUUUCACUUCCCAGUAGAUGAGCCUCCCAUAAACGAUAAGCUUCACGUUGAAGUCAUUAGUUCUUCUUCAAGAUAACUUCAUCCCAAGCUAGAUCUAAAGCAAUUAUCGAUUUCAUGAGACGUGGCAAUCUUCCUACUGAGACCUUUGUUCUUGGAUCCAAUCAAUACAUAAUAACAUCGAUUCAUGAGAGUUGGUUUGCUGCUCGGUGUUUAAACACUUCCAAACCUGCUGGUGAAGAAGCUAUUGUUAUGCAGACUUCGACAGAUAUAUUUCUUACAGUUUCAGUCCGCAGCAAAGAUGGUUAUGAUUUCUUCCUGCAGAUGUGAUGGAUCAAUUGGUUCAGCUUGUCAAGCUAUGGCUGCGGUUGAUCAGUUUGCAUUGCAGUUUGGUCAGAAAAUCAUCUAGCUUUAUCAUUUGCGAAGGUAGAACCAUAUAUAUUUUUACAUGUUUGAUUUUUUUUUUUUAAGAACCUACUUGAGAGAGAUCACCAUUGGAGUAUGAAAUUUUUUUAAAAGAAAA